rnacentral:rRNA from 1 species
GUGAGGAAUUUUCCGCAAUGGGCGAAACCCUGAUCUAGCCAUGCCGCGUGAUCGAUGAAGGCCUUAGGGUUGUAAAGAUCUUUCAGGUGGGAAGAUAAUGACUGUACCACCAGAAGAAGCCCCGGCUAACUCCGUGCCAGCAGCCGCGGUAAUACGGAGGGGGCUAGCGUUGUUCGGAAUUACUGGGCGUAAAGCGCACGUAGGCGGAUUGGAAAGUUGGGGGUGAAAUCCCGGGGCUCAACCCCGGAACUGCCUUCAAAACUCCCAGUCUUGAGUUCGAGAGAGGUGAGUGGAAUUCCGAGUGUAGAGGUGAAAUUCGUAGAUAUUCGGAGGAACACCAGUGGCGAAGGCGGCUCACUGGCUCGAUACUGACGCUGAGGUGCGAAAGCGUGGGGAGCAAACAGGAUUAGAAACCCCAGUAGUCC